ACCCCAUUCCCAAUGUUAAAGUGCCUAGAACAGCACAAGGGUUAAUUCCUUCCAGGUGAACCAGCACUGCUUCCCACCAGCAGGGAGCACUAAGGAGCUUAAUGUCUUCAAGUUAUUGAAGCCCAGCUGAAUUCUGCAGAAGUAACUGAACCAAACAAAGAUCAUGAUCGCUUCUAUGAAUAUUGAAGGUGUAAACAGGUCAUGGUUUGACUCCGCCUCUCCUGCUGAAACGUCUGUUCCUUUGACUCCGCCUGCUGCUGACUGAUGGAGUUUCUUCAUCACCCUUCCUCGCAUGAAGAAGGCAAAGACUCUGUGGGUUUAUUGAACAACUGACACUAUGAUCUGCCUCCUCUUCUGCUGCUGGCUGACAGUUGGUCUGGCCGUGGAUGUCCGUCAGACUCCUGCUGAAGUGUUCACCCAUCCUAGAAACAGCUUGGUGCAGCUUUUCUGCAACCAUGACAAGACCGACUUCUACUUGAUGCUCUGGUACCAGCAGACGCCUGGACGCACAGACAUGAAGCUCAUCGGAUAUUUGCAUCACAACGAACCGACGAUGGAAAAAGAACAUAAAGAUGAUUUUGACAUUUCUGGAGCUCUGAGUGGGAGCACAGCAAAGAAUGGAUCUCUGAUGAUCAAGAAAGCAGAACAGAAUAGCUCUGCAGUUUAUUUCUGUGCAGCAAGCAAAGCACAGUGAUGAAGAUCAUCUGUGAACGUGACAAAAACUGUUGGCAUUGCUUCAUCGUUGGUGGUUUUCUGGCUCCACACAGCUGCUUCUGUGGUCCACGACUUUCAAACAAGAAACUCAUCAAAGUUUCACUUAUCUAAGAAGAGAUGUAAAAAGAAUCAAAAAGUAGGGUUUUAAUAGAUUUUCAUCUUUCUUUGCUGCCACCAGGAGGCGCUAUGUCUUUGCUGUUUUUUUCCUCCAAAACACAGAAAAUGUUCAAGAUGUUUCCAGAAAAUUUAUAAUUUUUAAAUAACACACAUUCAUAAAGCAGUGUGAUAGACAUCCUUUCAUUAAUAAAUCUGGUUCAUAUGACAUUUUUAAAACAGUUUUUCUAUGAAGAACUUUAUUUAAGUUCAGACCUUUCAGGCUUUUCACAGAAAAAUCUAGAUUUAUGUUCCAGUUCAUAACUCAGAACACUAAAAACAACAAGUGAGUUCAUUUUGGUAAAAUUAUACUAUUUCUCAGAGGAAAAAAAGGAUGGUCGGAAAGAAAAUCUCUGAGGUUUGAAUAAAUAAAACAGAGUGUCAUCUGCAUAAAGGUGAAUGAGUGUUUUCUCAUUGUAAAAAAAAAUUAAAAUACCAAAAAUGGUGUAAACCAGGAGCCUUGUGGAAUUUUUUUUUUAGUAAACGAUGGCUCUAAUUCAGGGUUGUCAAACUCAAGGCGUUGAGGACCGGCUUCCUGCUGGUUAUCUGCUGCUGAUUACCUGGAUCAGGUGCGUUUAGCCAAUAAAGAGCUUCAAUAGCAGGUUUAGACUUUAAAGGCAGAAAUAUUUUCAAUUUCUAGAAAAUCUAGAAUUAUGCUUUAGUUACAAACUCAGACGCUGAAAAACAACAAGUCUGUUUAGUUUGUAUUAAUUUUUGCAGCUUUUGUCUCGUCCAGGUGGAACACCUAUAAGAAGUAAUAAUUCAGCAUCACUGUAGAGUAAAUGUUCCUCGAUUAUAGUUAUGGUUAUUGAUGGUGCUUUACGCAUGUGUUCUAAUAAAAGAAUAGUUAGACAAAUGGGAAUCCCGGAUUCCUCACAGUUAGUCUAUAUGCAGAACAAUAGGUGGUUGGAAAGACAUCUCUAUGGUUUGAAUAAAUAAAAGCGUGUCAUCUGCAAAGAAGCGAAUGUGUUUUUGAUUGGAAAAAACAAUUCUGUGUGAAAAAUUCAAUGGAAUAUUAAAAUAAUAAAUACACAAUGAUCCCCUGUAUAAGAUGAAUAGUGGGUUUUUUUUGUGCGUGUGUGAGGUAUAUUUAAAAAUUUAACGCCUACUCUUCAUGGACCUGUUUUGUUCUUGACUGUGGUGGCAAACUCCUCCUCUUCAUUACUCUCCUGCUAUUUAAAGCUGUGUCUCUGUCGUUACAUUCUGCAUUUUCUUUGCGUUGGUAAAACAAAAAAUUAUCUGCGUGUUUAUAUUAUAUUUCCUCUCAGAUUUCUGCCAGACUCUUGAUGUCCAUCAGGAUCCAUCAGACAUUGUCAAAGAACCAAGCAGCACAGUGCAGAUUGUCUGUACCCAUG